GUCCCCGUAGUUCAGUGGAUAGAACAGGGCACUCCUAAGGCUCAGACACUGGUUCGAUUCCAGUCGAGGACA
rfam:Candidatus Gracilibacteria bacterium CG1_02_38_174 cg_0.2_sub10_scaffold_587_c, whole genome shotgun sequence.